rnacentral:tRNA from 1 species
GCGGCCGUAGCUCAGUGGAUAGAGCAACUGGCUACGAACCAGUAGGUCGGAGGUUCGACUCCUUCCGGCCGCACCA